CAUCCAAAAAAACCCUGUGAAAUUCCUUCUCUUCUUCCAUCCGUCCCUUUGUCCCUCCCCUCCAUCAGACAUCUGUUUAUUGAAUAGUCACUGGCAAUCCAUUAGACUGAGAAAGUCAGGGGCUGGGGGAAUACAACCACAGAUCCUCAUUCCUCUCACUACUUAAAAAAUGCAGAGACGGUCCAGCUCUGCAGCUGGUGGGAUUAGGUACGGUUCCGCUCAGCUGUUUAGAACCAAAAGGAAACAUGCAUUUUGCUUUAAUGCUAGUUUUGCAGUUCACCAGAAACAGGGUAACCUUGAACCUUCAAAGGACUAGUUCCUUCAAAGCAUUUGUAAGUGAUGUGAGACUAUAAGUGUAAAACGACGUCCCUUUUGUCUGGCGUGAUUGUCAGCGUGUUUAGAAUCACACUUGUUGGUGAAGAUAAGGUUUCAUUUUGCUCCUUUAUAGUCAGUUUUGAGUUUGCACUAUAGAGACCAGAUCAAGUGUGGCAGAAAAGUAGGCAUUUGCCAGGGAUGAGGAAAGCACUUACUAUUUCAAGCCACUAAUAAAAUAUGGUGUUCGCUGCACAGAGCUCCUAAAAUCCAUGGAAUUUCCUAAGUGGAGAGAACCAAAAACA